CUUCUGUUUUCUCAGACCGGAAUCGACCAAUUCACUGCAGACCAGAUCCUUUGAAUCGCGCGCCACCGGUUAUCUGAGAACGAGUGUGCUGUCACAACUGGAAAGGCCACGGCAUAUCGUUCGGCGGGGGUGUGUCCCUACAUUCGGUGGCAGCGGCGGAACGCGCUGGACGCAACGCUCUUACCUUGCUCUUCUGUUUUCUCAGACCGGAAUCGACCAAUUCACUGCAGACCGGAUCCUUUGAAUCGCGCGCCACCGGUUAUCUGAGAACGAGUGUGCUGCCACAACUGGAAAGGCCACGGCAUAUCGUUCGGCGGGGGUGUGUCCCUACAUUCGGUGGCAGCGGCGGAACGCGCUGGACGCAACGCUCUUACCUUGCUCUUCUGUUUUCUCAGGUUGGUAACUAUCUGUCUGCCGUUUCUUCCUGUGUUCUGCCGCUGCCAUCAACGGGUAUAGCAUUGUGCUAGGGUUGAACAGUGUUUGUCGCGAAGUGUCCCUGUACUGGCGAUGUCUCGUUGUUAUUCUUGCCGCAAGGUACUGCACGAUAUUGACUCUGUUCUAACUUGUGGUCAAUGCGAGUUUUCUUUUCAUUGCGGUGAAUGCUCAGGAGUAAGCGAAAACACGCUGAAGGGUAAACGGGAGCAGUACAGGAAGAGUUGGAAAUGUGAGGCAUGCAGGGCUGGCGGAGGCAAAAGUGGCACCAGCACGCCGGCGCCAAGGACAGACUCUGACAUUCUUACAAAACUCGCAGAAAUGGACCGUAAGCUCAGUUCACUCCUUGUGAUUCCAAACAAAAUGACAGAAAUCGAGAAGUCGAUGCAAAUGCUAUCUGAUCAAUUUGACAAAAUUCAAAAUCGUCAAGAUAUCCAAGAGAAGGAAAUCAAGGAAAUGAAACGUCAGGUAGAAAAGAUUGAGCGUAGUGGCGCUUCAGAACAACUCUGUCGACUUGAGUCUGACCUUGAAGCACUUGAGUGGCGCAGUAGAAGACUAAACAUUGAAAUACAUGGGAUUGCGGAAACCGAGGGGGAGAAUCUACUUGAGAAGGUUAACAACCUAGGUGCACAACUGGAAAUGCAACCCAUCACAACCCAAGAUAUAGUCGCUAUUCACAGAUUGCCGGCUAAGACAGGGAAAGCGCGCGGGAUCAUCUUGCGCUUCGUGCGCCAGGAGACUAGAGACGCUUGGAUUGCCAAGCGAAAGCUUUUGAGAGAAAAGAAAAACAGGGUUUUUAUUAAUGAAAACCUAACCUCACGAACCAGAAAGCUUCUUGCUGCCACUAAAGAAUGGGCGAAGAAUGCAGACUAUCAAUUUGUUUGGCAUUCAAAUGACAAGGUGCUGAUGCGUAAAUCGAGUGGUGAACCAGUGACGGUAGUGAAAGACGUGAACGAACUCCGGGCAAUCAGCACCUGAGUCUUCGUCUUUGGUGUUACUUUGGUGUUACUGAUCUCAUUCCAAUGGAGCAGCUCGGUCUUAUCGAUAAACAAAAAUGGUUUUCUUCCUUUGCUGCAGUUAAAGGCGUGAGCUGUUUACAUAUGAAUGUACAAUCUGCUUGUAACAAACUUGGUGAACUAGAAACCUUUUUCGAUGACAUAAAUGACCUCUGUGAUGUCAUUAUGUUAUGUGAAACCUGGUACUCAAAUGAUGUUAAUAUUCUUCGACUGCCGCAAAAGAAAACAUUUUGCUUGAACAGAACAACUCGACGUGGCGGUGGUGUCUCUCUGCUGGUGAAAAAUUCCAUACCCUGUGACAUAUUGGAAGACUUUACAACAAUAACGCAUAAUGUCGAGUCAUUGUGCAUUCAAGCUGAUGGUGUUGUAUUUGGUGUGUGCUAUCGUCCACCAGACGGUAUCGUGCAGGAGUUCCUCACUUUUGUAGAUAAUCUGUUGGCGUACGCAUGCGAAAACAAGCAAAAAGUGAUCCUUGGCGGCGAUUAUAACAUUGACAUGAGUGCAUGUAGUGCUAGACAGCAUGACUUAUUAAAUAUAAUCUUGUCGAACGGUUGUAUAAAUGUUAUAGAA